GCCUUCGUAGUGUAAUGGGGCAGCACGCUCGGCGCGUAUUCGAGAGGUCCGUGGUUCGAGUCCCGGCCAGGGCA
rnacentral:tRNA from 1 species